AGCGACAGAUAAGGAGCUUGCUCCUUUGACGUUAGCGGCGGACGGGUGAGUAACACGUGGAUAACCUACCUAUAAGACUGGGAUAACUUCGGGAAACCGGAGCUAAUACCGGAUAACAUAUUGAACCGCAUGGUUCAAUAGUGAAAGGCGGCUUUGCUGUCACUUAUAGAUGGAUCCGCGCCGUAUUAGCUAGUUGGUAAGGUAACGGCUUACCAAGGCAACGAUACGUAGCCGACCUGAGAGGGUGAUCGGCCACACUGGAACUGAGACACGGUCCAGACUCCUACGGGAGGCAGCAGUAGGGAAUCUUCCGCAAUGGGC
rnacentral:rRNA from 1 species